rnacentral:rRNA from 1 species
UACGAAGGGGGCGAGCGUUGUUCGGAAUUACUGGGCGUAAAGGGCGCGUAGGCGGCCUUCUAAGUCGAACGUGAAAUCCCCGGGCUCAACCCGGGAACUGCGUCCGAUACUGGAAGGCUUGAAUCCGGGAGAGGGAUGCGGAAUUCCAGGUGUAGCGGUGAAAUGCGCAGAUAUCGAGGGGGAACACCGGUGGCGAAGGCGGUUCUCUGGGCAUUACCUGACGCUGAGGAGCGAAAGUGUGGGGAGCGAACAGG